rnacentral:lncRNA from 1 species
CCACUUCCUUUCCCCAGGGGCCGCGGCAUUCUUGGGGCGGUGACCCACACCAUCUCCACUGCACUGCUGGCCUUCGAGCUGACUGGCCAGAUUUGUGCACGGGCUCCCUGUGCUGAGUGCGUGCUGGCAGCCAAAUGCCAUUGCCCAGAGCUGCCAACCCUCCUUCUAUGAUGGCACCAUCAUAGUCAAGAAGCUGCCUUACCUGCCCUGGAUUCGAGGGCCGCAUUGGGUGAGCGACUGCAGCAUGCGGGGAUGCUCGGAGUUGGGAGGGCUGGGGGAGGCCCCAGAAGAAAGGCCACUGAGGCUGACCUUGGCCAUGACUCCUCUGGUCCCAUGCUCCCCAGCACCCCACUUGCCUGGUGCAGGCUGCAGCCUCACACGGACAGCACAGAGCCAGCACCAGCUUUGGGGUCCCCCCCCUCCCCUACCCCUGCUGCUCUGCUGUCCUUACUGCAUUGGGGGAGCUGGGGUGGAGCUAGGGAAUGGAGCUUUGAGGGUCUAGCUGGACCAUGUGGUCCAGAGGCUCCGAAGGCUCUGGAUCAAGGUCAGCUCCAAACCUCAGUUUCCCCAUCCAUGAGAUGUGGGUGCUCAUCAGAGGUUUCAGACUUCAGAGUUGUUCUUUGAUUUUGAUUUUGCUGUGUAACUUUUCUCCCAGUAGAGUUUUCCCAGGAAGGUGAUGGGAUGAAUCAGAACAAAGCAGAACUGGACCUGGGUCUGGGGCAGGAUCUGGAGGCCUCAGGUUCAGGCCUGGACCCUCAGGUGAGGUGUCCCAGGCUCCUUCCCACUGUGGAGUCCUGGGGGUCACUCAGCCUGGACCCCCUCAAUCCCCACCCGCACUGGAGUCCUGGGUCCUGUCCCAGCCAAUUCCCCCAGGCUGCCGAGGACCCUGCUCAUCCUGGGCGCUGAGGGCCUUAUUGGGGAUCCCUCUGCUGCAGCUCCCACCCGGUGAACGUGGGGCACUUCAUGAACAGCACCAUCACCACACUGGCCAAAGACGCGCCGCUGGAGAAGGUGGUUAAGGUUGUGACCUCCACGGAUGUGACCGAGUACCCCUGGUGGAGAGCACAGAGUCUCAGAUCCUCGUGGGCACUGUAUGCAGGGCCCAGCUGGUGCAAGCCCUCCUGGCUGGGCCACCUUCCUGGGCUCAAGGACAACAGGACCUCCUGUCUGAGGGCUGCCCCACCACACCAGUGACCCUGCAGCUGACCCCAGACACCACACUGCAUCAGGCACACAACCUGUUUGAGCUGUUGAACCUCCAGUCCCUCUUCGUGACGUCGCGGGGCAGAGCUGUGGGCUUUGUGUCCUGGGUGGAGUUGAAGAAGGCGAUUUCCAGCCUGACAAACCCAUCAGCCCCGAAGUGAGCUGGCCUGGCCAGACGACCUGAGGGCUGGGGCCCCCAGCGACAGAGACCCUGCUUCAUCCUCACUACACGCCCCUCCGCCAGCUCAGCUCCAGCCACGCAGGGAGAGGCACCCCAGUCCUGUGUCCCUGUGUCCCAUCCCCGGGGGACACCAGUUACUGCCUCCAGGGGACAAAUCCCAAUAGAGCAGGCAACUGGCCAGCGUGGGUGCUCAGGGUUUGGUCAUCAAAGCCGUAAACAGCAGCCCAUGAGGAUGGCCCCGGUGCCCUCUGGUGUUGUAGAUUCCCCAGCCUGAAACUCCAAGAAUAAAGCAUCCUGUCUCCCUGCAUCCCUGUCUCCGCCAGGUGUGGACCCGGCCCUCAGCUCUGGCCCUCCCUGGUCUCCUCCUCUUGCCCCA